rnacentral:rRNA from 1 species
GCACAGGUUUACCUGUGUGACUGCGUACCUUUUGUAUAAUGGGUCAGCGACUUAUAUUCUGUAGCAAGGUUAACCGAAUAGGGGAGCCGGAGGGAAACCGAGUCUUAAUUGGGCGUUAAGUUGCAGGGUAUAGACCCGAAACCCGGUGAUCUAGCCAUGGGCAGGUUGAAGGUUGGGUAACACUAACUGGAGGACCGAACCGACUAAUGUUGAAAAAUUAGCGGAUGACCUGUGGCUGGGGGUGAAAGGCCAAUCAAACCGGGAGAUAGCUGGUUCUCCCCGAAAGCUAUUUAGGUAGCGCCUCGUGAAUUCAUCUCCGGGGGUAGAGCACUGUUUCGGCUAGGGGGCCAUCCCGGCUUACCAACCCGAUGCAAACUGCGAAUACCGGAGAAUGUUAUCACGGGAGACACACGGCGGGUGCUAACGUCCGUCGUGAAGAGGGAAACAACCCAGACCGCCAGCUAAGGUCCCAAAGUCAUGGUUAAGUGGGAAACGAUGUGGGAAGGCCCAGACAGCCAGGAUGUUGGCUUAGAAGCAGCCAUCAUUUAAAGAAAGCGUAAUAGCUCACUGGUCGAGUCGGCCUGCGCGGAAGAUGUAACGGGGCUAAACCAUGCACCGAAGCUGCGGCAGCGAACGU